UGCAGUCGCACGGGUGGUUUCGGCCAUCAGUGGCGGACGGGUGAGUAACGCGUAGGAACGUGUCCAGAGGUGGGGGACAACCCCGGGAAACUGGGGCUAAUACCGCAUGGGGGCUGAGGCCCAAAGCCGAGAGGCGCCAUUGGAGCGGCCUGCGUCCGAUUAGGUAGUUGGUGGGGUAAAGGCCUACCAAGCCUGCGAUCGGUAGCUGGUCUGAGAGGACGACCAGCCACACUGGGACUGAGACACGGCCCAGACUCCUACGGGAGGCAGCAGUGGGGAAUAUUGGACAAUGGGCGAAAGCCUGAUCCAGCAAUGCCGCGUGGGUGAAGAAGGUCUUCGGAUCGUAAAGCCCUUUCACGGGGACGAUGAUGACGGUACCCGUAGAAGAAGCUCCGGCUAACUUCGUGCCAGCAGCCGCGGUAAUACGAAGGGGGCUAGCGUUGUUCGGAAUUACUGGGCGUAAAGGGCGCGUAGGCGGCGGCCCAAGUCAGGCGUGAAAUUCCUGGGCUCAACCUGGGGA
rnacentral:rRNA from 1 species